rnacentral:pre_miRNA from 14 species
UUAUCUUUUUAAAAUCCUGCAUUUAUCUGACAUCUCACAUUAUUGAGGAUAUAAACUAAAUAAAGAAAUAUCAUCGAUCAUGUGAGCUGUUAGAUUAUCAGAUUUCUAUGGAUUCUUCAUA